rnacentral:pre_miRNA from 1 species
GAGAAGUAGCUGUAAAGCUCAGGAGGGAUAGCGCCAUGGCUCACCAAUACUUGUAUGUUUUGUACACGCAUAUCUGUUGGCGCUAUCCAUCCUAAGUUCCAUGGCUUAUUCUU